rnacentral:rRNA from 1 species
GGAAGAUAUCUAGGGCGCACGGCGGAUGCCUUGGCACAUGGAGCCGAUGAAGGACGCGGCAAGCUGCGAUAAUCCGCGGUUAGGGGCACACACCCUUCGACCCGCGGGUCUCCGAAUGGGCGAACCCGCCAGGAGAAGUCCUGGCACCCCUCAGCUGAACACAUAGGCCGAGGGGGGACAACCCGGGGAACUGAAACAUCUAAGUACCCGGAGGAGAAGAAAUCAACCUCGAGAUUCCCCGAGUAGCGGCGAGCGAAAGGGGACCUAGGCCAAACCGUGGAGCGGGCGGGCGCCAGCCCUUACCGCCCACGGGGUUGUAGGGCCUCCCGCCCGGGAGCUGGCGCUCCCGGCGGGCAUCCAUCCAGGGGAGCCGAACGGCAUGGGAAGGCCGGCGGCACAGGGUUAGGGCCCCGUAGGCGCACCCUGGGAUGGAGCCCGGUGGAGGUACCUGAGUAGGGCCGGGCACGUGAAACCCGGUCCGAACCCGGGGGGACCACCCUCCAAGCCUGAAUACUCCCAUGUGACCGAUAGCGCACCAGUACCGUGAGGGAAAGGUGAAAAGCACCCCGGGAGGGGAGUGAAACAGUACCUGAAACCGUGCGCCCGCAAGGCGUCGGAGCGGGCUUCGUCCCGUGACGGCGUGCCUUUUGUAGAAUGAGCCAGCGAGUUGCUGGCACGCGGCGAGGUUAAGCUGGGAAGCGAGCCGGAGCGAAAGCGAGUCCGAAACGGGCGAUUCCAGUCGCGUGCCGCAGACGCGAAGCCGGGUGAGCUAUCCCUGGGCAGGCUGAAGCGGGGGUAAGACCCCGUGGAGGGCCGAACGGACGUACGUUGAAAAGUGCGCCGAUGACCUGGGGAUAGGGGUGAAAGGCCUAUCAAACCCGGAGAUAUCUCGUUCUCCCCGAAAUAGCUUUAGGGCUAGCGUCGAGAGUUAACCGCCGGAGGUAGAGCACCGGAUCGAUGAGGGGGCUUCGCCGCCUACCGAUUCGAACCGAACUCCGAAUGCCGUUCGGUCCAUAUCUCGGCAGUCAGAGCAUGUGGGCUAAGCUGUGUGCUCGAGAGGGAAACAGCCCAGACCGCCCGCUAAGGCCCCCAAUUCUCAGUUAAGUGGCAAAGGAUGUGCGUCCGCGCAGACAACCAGGAGGUUGGCUUAGAAGCAGCCACCCCUUCAAAGAGUGCGUAACAGCUCACUGGUCGAGUGGACAUGCGCCGACAAUACACGGGGCUAAACUGAGAGCCGAAGCGGCGGCAAUGAGAAUUCAUUGGGUAGGGGAGCGUCCCCAGCGGGGCGAAGCCGGAGGGUCACCGACGGUGGACUGCUGGGGAGUGAGAAUGCUGGCAUGAGUAGCGAGAGACGAGAGAGUAACUCGUCCGCCGUAAACCCGAGGUUUCCUGGGCGAGGCUAAUCCUCCCAGGGUCAGUCGGGGGCUAAGCCGAGGGCGGAAGCCGUAGGCGACGCGCAGCAGGUGGACAUUCCUGCACCGGAGAUGCACCGUCACGACCGACGGGGCGACGGAUUGGGGUGGCUCGGCGGGGUUCUGGACGUCCCCGUGAUGGAGCGCGGCCCGGAGACCAGGCAAAUCCGGUCUCCGCGAGGGCGAGGCUCCGGACGAAGCGCUUGAGCGAAGCGAGUGAGCCCGUGGUCCCCAGAAAAACCCCUAGGCAGGGGCAUCUCCGCCCGUACCGCAAACCGACACAGGUGGGUGGGUAGAACAUACCGAGGCGAUCGGGUCAACCAUGGUCAAGGAACUCGGCAAAAUGGCCCCGUAACUUCGGGAGAAGGGGCGCCGGCGCGUACGUGGACCCACUUGCUGGGCGAGCGGAGGCCGGCCGCAGUGAAGAGGCCCAAUCGACUGUUUACCAAAAACACAGGACUCUGCAGAAGGCGAGAGCCGACGUAUAGGGUCUGACGCCUGCCCGGUGCCGGAAGGUCACGCGGAGGGGUCAGCGAAAGCGAAGCCCCGAAGCCAAGCCCCGGUAAACGGCGGCCGUAACUAUAACGGUCCUAAGGUAGCGAAAUUCCUUGUC